rnacentral:rRNA from 1 species
GGAUGGUCAGCCAGAUGGGGACUGAGAGGCGGCCCCAACUCCUACGGGAGGCAGCAGCAAGGGAUAUUGCGCAAUGGACGAAAGUCUGACGCAGCGACGCCGCGUGAGGGAUGAAGGCCUUCGGGUCGUAAACCUCUUUUAUUGGUGAAGAGUAAGGACGGUAACCAGUGAAUAAGCCCCGGCUAACUACGUGCCAGCAGCCGCGGUAAUACGUAGGGGGCGAGCGUUAUCCGGAUUUACUGGGCGUAAAGAGCGCGUAGGCGGCUUCUUAAGUUGGCAGUGAAAGAUUCCGGCUCAACUGGGAUUUGUUUGUCAAUACUGAAGAGCUUGAGGGCACCAGAGGAAAGUGGAACUCGCGGUGUAGCGGUGAAAUGUGUAGAUAUCGCGAGGAACACCAGUGGCGAAGGCGGCUUUCUGGGGUGUUCCUGACGCUGAGGCGCGAAAGCGUGGGGAGCGAAGCGGAUUAGAUACCCGCGUAGUCCACGCCCUAAACGGUGGAUACUUGGUAUGGGGGGUAUCGACCCCCUCCGUGCCGAAGCUAACGCUUUAAGUAUCCCGCCUGGGAACUACGGUCGCAAGACUAAAACUCAAAGGAAUUGACGGGGGCCCGCACAAGCAGCGGAGCGUGUGGUUUAAUUCGAUGCAACACGAAAAACCUUACCAAGGCUUGACAUGCUAGUAGUAGGAACCCGAAAGGGGGACGACCGGCCUUCGGGCUGGAGCUAGCACAGGUGCUACAUGGCUGUCGUCAGCUCGUGCCGUGAGGUGUUGGGUUAAGUCCCAUAACGAGCGCAACCCUUGUUCUGUGUUGAUUUCUCACAGGAGACUGCCCAGGAAUUCUGGGAGGAAGGUGAGGAUGACGUCAAGUCAGCAUGGCCUUUAUGCCUUGGGCAACACACACGCUACAAUGGGUGGUACAGAGGGCAGCCAAAGAGUGAUCUGGAGCUAAUCCCACAAAGCCACCCCCAGUUCAGAUUGCAGGCUGAAACCCGCCUGCAUGAAGUUGGAGUUGCUAGUAACCGCAGGUCAGCAUACUGCGGUGAAUACGUUCUCGGGCCUUGUACACACCGCCCGUCACGUCAUGAAAGCUGGCAACACCUGAAGUCGAUGUGCUAACUCGCAAGAGAGGUAGUCGCCGAAGGUGGGGUUAGUAAUUGGGACGAAGUCGUAACAAGGUAGCUGUACCGGAAGGUGCGGCUG